rnacentral:tRNA from 1 species
GGGCCCGUGGCCUAGUCCGGAUAGGGCGGCAGCCUCCUAAGCUGCAAGUCGCGGGUUCAAAUCCCGCCGGGCCCGCCA